GAUAGUCUUCUACAAAGGCAACUUGGAAAAGUUCAUCAAAUUCAACGGAACGGGAAGCUCUGUCUCAAACUGGUUCUACAUCAACAGAGUACUGGCUUCUUCGUGGCCUACAUUGGUCGGCGGACCAUAUGGAUACUUCUCCAUUGAUGGAGAUGCCGUUAAUGGCAGGCGAUUCUUCACAGCAGGAUAUUACGCAUACUGUAUGGCUGACAGGAUAUUCACACUUGUUAUCACGGAAAAGGUUGCCCCGUGUGCGUAUGAUCGACAGUCCUCGUACCCACAGAUUCUGUUUGCUACUGAAGAUGACAGGGCUAUCCUGAGAGCAUGACAGGGAUGGCGUUAGCUGAUUCGUUUGCUAUUUUUAUCAAGUAAGCGCUCUGGAUCUUUGUGGUUAAAGCAGACAUCGAGUGUGUUUUGUACGCAUUCCUUUCGUGUGAUCUUAUAUAAGACACGGUGUUGAUUCAUUGUCUUUAUUACUCACAAUUUCAAACUAUGUCCAUAAUAUUUUUGAGUAAGUUGAAUUAAAUCCAUGUGCCAUUGUGUUUCGGUUUGUUUGCCUCAUGUGGCAUAAUGUCAUUUAACAUACUGAUUUUGUGCAAGGUACGUCGAUUCAAAAUAAUUACGCUGACAAUAUCACGUUUAUUAUAAUCUGUUUCAAUAAAUAAUUUUACACAUUGUUAUUAUAGACAAAUAAUUAAGCCUUACAAAUCACUGUUUCUGCCAAUACUGGUAUACAUUUCCAGUGUCGGUUUAUGUUUGUUAAUGCUUGUUUAUGAGUGUAUUGACAUUUUAAUAGCUAUUUUUUAUUUUAAUGUAU